ensembl:lncRNA
AGCUACCUUCUGAUUUCUUCUCCACACUCCAUAGAUACUGAAGAGUCAAGAUUAAUGGCGCUCUAACCUUCUCAAAGCACCCAAGUUCUGGCAGUGCUCCACUCAACCCCACCCCUCCUGCUGAUAUCCUUCUGGCAGAAGCAAGGGGUGGCCGAGAGCCUUCAAAACAGUUCCCCACAACUUUUUCACAGCUUCUAUUACCUCUUCUGAAUGCAUCUGGAAAGGUACAGAUGAAGAGAGAAUACCUCCACAAGUCUACUGGAUCUAGAUGGCAUAAUUACAGAAGAGUAAGAGGAUGAGUCCCAGACCUGAACAACUGGUAAAUAUUUCAGAUACCAAUAUCAACUUCUUAGCCAGGCAACAGGGAAAGGAGCAAAAUAGGAUUUCUCAAGCAACCAGAUGUUCCACAAAGCACUGAGAGGGAUUGUGCAAAGCUGAUUCACACUUAGUCCUCAGUAAAUCUCUCUAAGCCUGAAGAAGUUAAAGAAAGCAUUAAAUCCAUGAUACUUUAACAAGGGUGAGGUAUCCUAACUAUUCCAAAUGGAAGCAUACUUGAACAGCGUUUACAGAGCUCCAAUACCUCCUCUUUUCAGUAUGAGGAAAUGAGAGUGCUUGAAUUUAACUUCGUAAUUUUCCUCAGUUCCUAAAUGCAAUGUGAUG